AAUAUUUGACAAUGGGGGGAACCCUGAUCCAGCCAUGCCGCGUGUGUGAAGAAGGUCUNCGGAUUNUNAAGCACUUUAAGUUGGGNGGAAGAGUUGUAGGCUAAUACCUUGCAAUUUUGACGUUACCAACAGAAUAAGCACCGGCUACCUUCGUGCCAGCCGCCGUGGUAAUACCAAGGGUGCAAUCGUUAAUCGUAAUUACUGGGCGUAAAGCCAGCGUAGGUGGGUCGUUAAGUUUGAAGUGAAAGCCCCGGGCUUAACCUGGGAAUUGCUUUCAAAACUGACGAGCUAGAGUACGGUAGAGGGUAGUGGAAUUUCCUGUGUAGCGGUGAAAUGCGUAGAUAUAGGAAGGAACAUCAGUGGCGAAGGCGACUACCUGGACUGAUACUGACACUGAGGUGCGAAAGCGUGGGGAGCAAACAGG
rnacentral:rRNA from 1 species